rnacentral:rRNA from 1 species
GAUGAACGCUAGCGGCAGGCCUAAUACAUGCAAGUCGAACGGCAGCACGAUCUUCGGAUUGGUGGCGAGUGGCGCACGGGUGCGUAACGCGUAUGCAACCUACCCUUUACUGGGGGAUAGCCCGGAGAAAUUCGGAUUAAUACCCCAUGGUAUUAUCAGAUGGCAUCUGAAGAUAAUUAAAGAUUUAUUGGUAAAGGAUGGGCAUGCGUGACAUUAGUUAGUUGGUGAGGUAAUAGCUCACCAAGACGAUGAUGUCUAGGGGUUCUGAGAGGAUGAUCCCCCACACUGGUACUGAGAUACGGACCAG